rnacentral:rRNA from 1 species
AUGAGUGCUAUAUUUGAUGAUGUCAGUGUGACAAAUGAGUAUGCGAGGGCGGCACCUCCCUCAUCUCAAGUUGGCGCCUCUCAAAUUCACAUUGAUGAUGAUGAUGGGGCAGGUUCAGGAUGUGAAGUAGAUGCUACUCAUGUGACACCUAACAAAGCUAAAGGUCGAAAGAAGAGAUCAUGUCCUUACUCACCUAGUCCUGCGAUGGUGCAAAAGAUUGCAAAAGAUAGUGAGGAUAGAAUGCAAUUUAAGCGUAUUGCCGACCUUUGGGAAAAGAGGGAAACUAGCCGCAAUUCGGCGACAUCUGAAAUGAAGGAGGAUCCUGUGAGAGAUGAGAUUAAGGAGAUGAAGGACAUGGUGGUGAAUGAUGGAGGUAAACCUGCAGCAUGA